CUCAUACAGUGCAAGCAGGACCAUCAGUUCUCUCUGGGGUUUGCUGUGCAAACUCCAGCUCUCCAUGCAAAAGGAAAUGAGUGCAGAUGGCCACCUCUUCCAAAUGGCUUGUUAACUCCAUCCUGAUCAUUUGAUUGCAGUGUCCACUGCUGCUGCCCAUAGUACGUCCAUCACGACCACUGCCAGCGAGACAACAGGUAGGAUUUACCGUUUUCUGUCAAAUCCUAUUGCAGACAGUCACUGCUAUCUGGGAAUUUAUAAGCAAGCAUGCAGUACUCUGUAUAUGACAACAUGUAAAGGGAAGUACAGAAGAAGCACAGUAUCUGUGCAGAGUAAUAUCUUCUGAUCUCACAUGCCAUGAGUACAGUACCAUCAGCCUUCUGCAGGGUUUGCUGUGCAAGCUCAAGUUCUCCAUGUGAAAGGAAACAUGUGCACAUGGUCUCUGACUCCAGAACCUUAGUCCGCUUGUCUGUGCCAUUCUUAUCAGAUCUUUCUUCACAGUGUUGAAUGCUACUGCCGUUCCUGAUGCAUCUACCUCAGUCACUCCAAUCAAUGCAACUGCAUCUAAUUAUUCAAGCUUAUCAUCAACUACAGCCUUUCCACAAAACGGUAAGCAUCCCACUUCCUGUCCAAUUUUGCUCUGUUUCUUAUGCUGCAACAGUCUUACUCAAGUCUCCCCUAAUGGAUGUGUUAAUGUCAAAUGAGUGAACCUCGCAAGAGAAACACAGAAGAUAACGACGGACAUUAUUGCUGAAAAAUGGAACAGAGCUGUUUCUCUCGUUUCAGUAUCUAACUCCACCAUUUCAAACACUGAAACUGCUGAAAAUCUGUCUGCUUCAGCCAUGCCUUCUAACACAACAGAGUCCAGUGCUGUUACAGUUGCAACAAAUGUGUCCACAGUUGGCAAUGGGCAGAACAUCACAGUGCAUAACUCCACCGCUGGGUUUCUGAAUGUCUCCACGCCAGUCACUCCUACAGUCACUGCUACAACAGGUACGCACAAACCUACAGCCCAGGCUUGGAAAAAACUCAAGGGGAAACCAUUCUUUGUGUCUU
rnacentral:lncRNA from 1 species